AUACGUAGGUGACAAGCGUUGUCCGGAUUUAUUGGGCGUAAAGCGAGCGCAGGCGGUCUUUUAAGUCUGAUGUGAAAGCCCACGGCUCAACCGUGGAGGGUCAUUGGAAACUGGAAGACUUGAAUGCAGAAGAGGAAAGUGGAAUUCCAUGUGUAGCGGUGAAAUGCGUAGAUAUAUGGAGGAACACCAGUGGCGAAGGCGACUUUCUGGUCUGUAAUUGACGCUUAGGCUCGAAAGCGUGGGGAGCGAACAGGAUUAGAUACCCUGGUAGUCCACGUCGUAAACGAUGAGUGCUAAGUGUUGGAGGGUUUCCGCCCUUCAGUGCUGGAGCUAACGCAUUAAGCACUCCGCCUGGGGAGUACGGCCGCAAGGCUGAAACUCAAAGGAAUUGACGGG
rnacentral:rRNA from 1 species